GCUGUAGCUCAGUGGUAGAGCAUUUGCUCUGCAUGCAGAAAAUGCUUGGUUCCAUCCUUGGCAUCUCCA